rnacentral:rRNA from 2 species
GAUCCUGGCUCAGAAUCAACGCUGGCGGCGUGCCUAACACAUGCAAGUCGAACGAGAAAGUGGAGCAAUCCAUGAGUAAAGUGGCGCACGGGUGAGUAACACGUGACUAACCUACCCUUGAGUGGGGAAUAACUUCGGGAAACCGAGGCUAAUACCGCAUAACACCUACGGGUCAAAGGAGCAAUUCGCUUAAGGAGGGGGUCGCGGCAGAUUAGUUAGUUGGCGGGGUAAUGGCCCACCAAGACGGUGAUCUGUAUCCGGCCUGAGAGGGCGCACGGACACACUGGAACUGAAACACGGUCCAGACUCCUACGGGAGGCAGCAG